AACGAACGCUGGCGGCGUGCCUAACACAUGCAAGUCGUACGAGAAAUCCUGGGCAACUGGGAAAGUAAAGUGGCGCACGGGUGAGUAACGCGUGGGUAACCUACCCUUGGACUUGGGAUAACUCCGCGAAAGCGGGGUUAAUACCGGAUGAUAUUCCGAUUCCUAAGGGGAUUGGAAUCAAAGGUGGCCUCUGCAUGCAAGCUAUCAUCUGAGGAUGGGCCCGCGUACCAUUAGCUAGUUGGUAGGGUAAUGGCCUACCAAGGCAACGAUGGUUAGCUGGUCUUAGAGGAUGGCCAGCCACACUGGAACUGAGACACGGUCCAGACUCCUACGGGAGGCUG
rnacentral:rRNA from 1 species